GUUGAUGCCCUUAAGGUCCAACUACUAUGAAUUCGUGUGACUGGACUUACUCCGGGGAACGGGCAAACAUGGGUUUCAUCUAUAUGAGUUCGGUGACACAACAAAUGGGUGUAUCUCAACAGGAGCACAUUUUAAUCCAAAUGGUUUGACACAUGGAGCUCCUGAGGAUGAAGUUCGCCAUGCGGGUGACCUGGGAAACAUAGUUGCUGACACCAAUGGUGUGGCUGAAGCGACAAUAGUGGACAAUCAGGUUGUUCUCUCUGCAUCUAUAACUAUUUUUGUUGUA